AUUGAACGCUGGCGGCAUGCUUUACACAUGCAAGUCGAACGGCAGCACGGGCUUCGGCCUGGUGGCGAGUGGCGAACGGGUGAGUAAUGCAUCGGAACGUGCCCAUUUGUGGGGGAUAACUACGCGAAAGCGUGGCUAAUACCACAUACGCCCUGAGGGGGAAAGCGGGGGAUUCUUCGGAACCUCGCGCAAUUGGAGCGGCCGAUGUCAGAUUAGCUUGUUGGUGAGGUAAAGGCUCACCAAGGCGACGAUCUGUAGCGGGUCUGAGAGGAUGAUCCGCCACACUGGGACUGAGACACGGCCCAGACUCCUACGGGAGGCAGCAGUGGGGAAUUUUGGACAAUGGGGGCAACCCUGAUCCAGCCAUGCCGCGUGAGUGAAGAAGGCCUUCGGGUUGUAAAGCUCUUUCAGCCGGGAAGAAAACGCACUCUCUAAUAUAGGGUGUGGAUGACGGUACCGGAAGAAGAAGCACCGGCUAACUACGUG
rnacentral:rRNA from 1 species